rnacentral:rRNA from 1 species
AUUGAACGCUGGCGGCGUGCUUAACACAUGCAAGUCGAUCGGUAACAGGUGUAGCAAUACAUGCUGACGAGAGGCGGACGGGUGAGGAACGCUUGGGAAUCUGCCUAUCAGCGGGGGACAACCCGGGGAAACCCGGGCUAAUACCGCAUACGCUCCACGGAGGAAAGCCGGGGACCGCAAGGCCUGGCACUGAUAGAUGAGCCCAAGACGGAUUAGCUAGUUGGCGGGGUAACGGCCCACCAAGGCGACGAUCCGUAGCUGGUCUGAGAGGACGAUCAGCCACACCGGAACUGAGACACGGUCCGGACUCCUACGGGAGGCAGCAGUGGGGAAUAUUGGACAAUGGGCGAAAGCCUGAUCCAGCGACGCCGCGUGGGUGAAGAAGGCCUGCGGGUUGUAACGCCCUUUCGGUAGGGACGAAAGCUCUCGACCUAACACGUCGGGAGGUUGACUUAACCUACAAAAGAAGCACCGGCUAACUCUGUGCCAGCCGCCGCCGUAACAC